rnacentral:rRNA from 1 species
UACAGGGGGUGCAAGCGUUGCUCGGAAUCAUUGGGCGUAAAGCGCACGUAGGCGGUCUGUUAUGUCGGAUGUGAAAGCCCUUGGCUCAACUGAGGAAGUGCAUCCGAAACUGGCAGGCUAGAGUACUAAAGAGGGUCGCGGAAUUCCCGGUGUAGAGGUGAAAUUCGUAGAUAUCGGGAGGAACACCGGUGGCGAAGGCGGCGACCUGGGUAGAUACUGACGCUGAGGUGCGAAAGCGUGGGGAGCAAACAGG